UGGGGAAUAUUGNGCAAUGGGGGGAACCCUGACGCAGCCAUGCCGCGUGAAUGAAGAAGGCCUUAGGGUUGUAAAGUUCUUUCGGUAUUGAGGAAGGUUGAUGUGUUAAUAGCACAUCAAAUUGACGUUAAAUACAGAAGAAGCACCGGCUAACUCCGUGCCAGCAGCCGCGGUAAUACGGAGGGUGCGAGCGUUAAUCGGAAUAACUGGGCGUAAAGGGCACGCAGGCGGUUAUUUAAGUGAGGUGUGAAAGCCCCGGGCUUAACCUGGGAAUUGCAUUUCAGACUGGGUAACUAGAGUACUUUAGGGAGGGGUAGAAUUCCACGUGUAGCGGUGAAAUGCGUAGAGAUGUGGAGGAAUACCGAAGGCGAAGGCAGCCCCUUGGGAAUGUACUGACGCUCAUGUGCGAAAGCGUGGGGAGCAAACAGGAUUAGAUACCCUGGUAGUCCACGCUGUAAACGCUGUCGAUUUGGGGGUUGGGGUUUAACUCUGGCGCCCGUAGCUAAACGUGAUAAAUCGACCCGCCUGGGGAGUACGGCCGCAAGGUUA
rnacentral:rRNA from 1 species